rnacentral:rRNA from 1 species
AUGGUUCUGCAGUUCUGGAGGCGUCCUGCAGCGACGCAGCAUAUUGCGGCUGAUGAGCAAGCCAUAGUCCACGGCCUUACUGAAGAUACCAUGGCAAGGAUGUGGGCUAGCAGAAGGACAUGGGAGGACGAACAACUGUACUUAGUCCAUGAUCAGGGCAUUCCGGGCAACAGUCAUCGUACUACUCUGGCCGUGAAGAAGUUCCAGAGCAUGAACCCAGCACUGCAAGUACACGACAAUGUCAAGUACCACUACAAUUUGGAGAUGAUCCUGUUAGCCAGCAAUUCUCACGUCAACAUCAUCAAAGUCGCAGACCUCAUCCAGAGGGAAGACGCGAUCAUGCUCGUUUACGAGUAUCCGGUGAAUGGCAAUCUUCGAUCCUGGCUGCACCAACCCAUGCAUCUCGGUCAGCCGCUGAGCUGGCCGCAGAGGAGGGCCAUCGCCAUCGGCGUGGCCAAAGGGCUCUGCCACUUGCACCAUGGGUGCAAGAAGCCAAUUGUCCACCAUAACAUCAGCCCUAACAACAUCUUGCUUGAUCAGAAUUUCAAGCCCGUGAUAGCAGGUUUUGAUGGUGCGCACAUGAACAUGGCCGGGCUCGGCCAACCGCUACCAAUCACGGACCUGCCUCCGGGUAACUUUGGGUAUGCAGCUCCAGAGUAUGGGAGAGCGACAAACCAAGUAACAGAGAAGGUGGAUAUUUACAGCUUUGGUGUGGUCUUGUUGGAGCUAGUCACGGCACGAGUGGCCAAUGGACGUGGAGCGAAUGGUCUAUUGGCAACUUGGGCACAGAAGACGUGCAAUGAACUGAUGGCAAACAAUCUGAAAAUGUUCAAGAUUACCGUCGACAAGGGCAUCCCAGAUCAAGGACGAUACAUGAAGGAGAUGGCGACCAUGUUCAGGCUGGGAGUGGAUUGCACCGUCAUGGAUCCGCUGGAAAGGCCUUCAAUGCUCAAGGUUCUCGAGCGACUCCGCCGUGGGCGUUCUCCAUUCCGUGGCCUCCUCACCUUCUAG